UCUGAGAGAAAUCAAAAAGGAUGGCAGAG
rnacentral:piRNA from 1 species